GACAGAGGUGCCAAGCGUUAGGCGGAAUCACUGGGCUUAAAGCGUGUGUAGGCGGAUUGGUAAGUACCUUGUGAAAUCCCACGGCUCAACCGUGGAACUGCUCGGUAUACUGCUCGUCUUGAGCCAACUAGGGGCGACCGGAACAAACGGUGGAGCGGUGAAAUGCGUAGAUAUCGUUUGGAACGCCGAUGGUGAAAACAGGUCGCUGGGGUUGUGCUGACGCUGAGACACGAAAGCCAGGGGAGCGAACGGG
rnacentral:rRNA from 1 species